AAGGCUUUAGCUUAAUAAAAGUAUCUGUUUUGCAUACAGGAGAUGUGGGUUAAUGUCCUGCAAGUCUUA
rnacentral:tRNA from 1 species